rnacentral:misc_RNA from 1 species
GAUGAAGAACGUAGCGAAAUGCGAUAAGUAAUGUGAAUUGCAGAAUUCAGUGAAUCAUCGAAUCUUUGAACGCACCUUGCACUCCUUGGUAUUCCGAGGAGUAUGCUUGUUUGAGAGUAAUGUAAUCAUCAAUCCUCCUUUACUUUUGUGAAGUUGGCUUGGAUUUGGGGAUUGCUGGCCUUUCAUUAGGUCCUGGCUUCCCUUGAAUGCAUUAGUUGAAUCAAGUUACAACGUUACGUGUGGUGUGAUAAUAUCUUCACUGCAUAGUUGUAAUGAAGUUUGGCUUCUAACAGUCCUUCACUGGACAAUACUUUGAACAAUGUACCUCAAAUCAAGUAGGACUACCCGCUGAACUUAAGCAUAUCAAUAAGCGGAGGA